rnacentral:rRNA from 1 species
GGGUUGUGAGGUUAAGCGACUAAGCGUACACGGUGGAUGCCCUGGCAGUCAGAGGCGAUGAAGGACGUGCUAAUCUGCGAUAAGCGUCGGUAAGGUGAUAUGAACCGUUAUAACCGGCGAUUUCCGAAUGGGGAAACCCAGUGUGAUUCGUCACACUAUCGUUAACUGAAUACAUAGGUUAACGAAGCGAACCGGGGGAACUGAAACAUCUAAGUACCCCGAGGAAAAGAAAUCAACCGAGAUUCCCCCAGUAGCGGCGAGCGAACGGGGAGGAGCCCAGAGC